rnacentral:rRNA from 1 species
UUAGAGUUUGAUCCUGGCUCAGGAUGAACGCUAGCGGCAGGCUUAACACAUGCAAGUCGAGGGGCAGCGCGGGAUAGCAAUAUCCUGGCGGCGACCGGCGGAAGGGUGCGUAACGCGUGAGCGACAUGCCCGUUGCCCGGGGACAACCGGUGGAAACGCCGACUAAUCCCCGAUGGGAUACGAUGCUUCAUGGCAUUGUAUUGAAAGUUACGGCGGCGACGGAUUGGCUCGCGUCCGAUUAGCUUGUUGGCGGGGUAACGGCCCACCAAGGCUGCGAUCGGUAGGGGUUCUGAGAGGAAGGCCCCCCACAAUGGGACUGAGACACGGCCCAUACUCCUACGGGAGGCAGCAGUGAGGAAUAUUGGUCAAUGGGCGGAAGCCUGAACCAGCCAUGCCGCGUGCGGGAAGGAGGCCCUAUGGGCUGUGAACCGCUUUUGCCUGGGGGCAAUAAGGGCGUCGCGCACGUCCGAUGAGAGUACCAGGCGAAUAAGCAUCGGCUAACUCCGUGCCAGCAGCCGCGGUAAUACGGGGGAUGCGAGCGUUAUCCGGAUUCAUUGGGUUUAAAGGGUGCGUAGGCUGUGCGUCAAGUCGGGGGUGAAAUUCCGGUGCUCAACACCGGGGCUGCCCUUGAUACUGUCGCGCUGGAGUGCGGAUGCCGCCGGAGGAAUGAGUGGUGUAGCGGUGAAAUGCUUAGAUAUCACUCAGAACACCGAUUGCGAAGGCAUCUGGCGAAUCCGUAACUGACGCUGAGGCACGAAAGCGUGGGGAUAGAACAGGAUUAGAUACCCUGGUAUUCCACGCCGUAAACGAUGAAGGCUAACCGCCGGCGACACACUGCUCGGUGGCCAAGCGAAAGCGAUAAGCCAUCCACUCUGGGAGUAC